AGUCGUAACAAGGUUUCCGUAGGUGAACCUGCGGAAGGAUCAUUAUAGAAAUAAAACUGAACAGGCUGUUUGCUGGUCCUCUCGAGGGCAUGUGCACGCCUGUCGUCUUUAUUCUUCCAACCGUGCACAUAUUGUAGGCCUGGAGUUUUUCUUAUUGUUCAAAUAGAUUGAGGACUGCCGUCGAGGCUUUGCCUUGUGAUUCCAGGUCUAUGUUGUAAUACAUUUUCACAACGUGUUUAAGAAUGUCGAGUACUGGGGAUAACAAAUAUACAACUUUCAGCAACGGAUCUCUUGGCUCUCGCAUCGAUGAAGAACGCAGCGAAAUGCGAUAAGUAAUGUGAAUUGCAGAAUUCAGUGAAUCAUCGAAUCUUUGAACGCAUCUUGCGCUCCUUGGUAUUCCGAGGAGCAUGCCUGUUUGAGUGUCAUCAAAAGUUCUCAACCAUGCUGGUUCUUCUGGCGUGGCUUGGAUUUGGGGGUUUGCAGGCUUUGAACCAAAGUCAGCUCCCCUUGAAAGGAUUAGUGGUAACCAGAGUACCUUUGGGUGUGAUAAUUAUCUAUGCNCUUGAUGCGUACUGUGUGUGAGCUGCUUCCAACCGAGUGUUGACAAAUUUGACCUCAAAUCAGGUAGGACUACCCGCUGAACUUAAGCAUAUCAAUAAGCGGAGGAAAAGAAACUAACAAGGAUUCCCCUAGUAACUGCGAGUGAAGCGGGA
rnacentral:rRNA from 1 species